GUCUACGGCCAUGCCAGCCUGAACAAGCCCGAUCCCGUCUGAUCUCAGAGGCUAAGCAGGGUCGGGCCUGGUUAGUACUUGGAUGGGAGACCACUAGGAAGACCAGAUGCUGUAGGUG
rnacentral:rRNA from 1 species